rnacentral:rRNA from 1 species
AGCGAACGCUGGCGGCAGGCUUAACACAUGCAAGUCGAGCGGGCGUAGCAAUACGUCAGCGGCAGACGGGUGAGUAACGCGUGGGAACGUACCUUUUGGUUCGGAACAACACAGGGAAACUCGUGCUAAUGCCGGAUAGGCCCUUACGGGGAAAGAUUUAUCGCCGAAGGAUCGGCCCGCGUCUGAUUAGCUAGUUGGUAGGGUAAUGGCCUACCAAGGCCACGAUCAGUAGCUGGUCUGAGAGGAUGAUCAGCCACAUUGGGACUGAGACACGGCCCACACUCCUACGGGAGGCAGCAGUGGGGAAUAUUGGACAAUGGGGGCAACCCUGAUCCAGCCAUGCCGCGUGAGUGAUGAAGGCCCUAGGGUUGUAAAGCUCUUUUGUGCGGGAAGAUAAUGACGGUACCGCAAGAAUAAGCCCCGGCUAACCUCGUGCCAGCCGCCGCCGUAA